rnacentral:rRNA from 1 species
UACGUAGGGUGCAAGCGUUGUCCGGAAUUAUUGGGCGUAAAGAGCUCGUAGGUGGCCUGUCGCGUCGGCUGUGAAAACUCGGGGCUCAACUCCGAGCUUGCAGUCGAUACGGGCAGACUAGAGUGCGGUAGGGGAGAUUGGAAUUCCUGGUGUAGCGGUGAAAUGCGCAGAUAUCAGGAGGAACACCGAUGGCGAAGGCAGGUCUCUGGGCCACUACUGACGCUGAGAAGCGAAAGCAUGGGGAGCGAACAGG